UUUGUUGUGAUAACACAGACAAAAUGAAACUUCAUUUAAUCUCUGAUAAUAACAAUAAUAAUAAAGUAUUAACAUUUAACAGUCAACAUAAAUACUGUAGCCGUGUCACGACUUACUUGUACCAAGUGUGUGUUAACGUCCACGUGUGCUAAAAUGGGAGACAAAAACGAUAGUGGUUCUUCAAAGAAAUAUGCAGCAAUAGGAACUGGACUUGGUUUACUAGUUGGAGCUGGAGCAGCCCUGUAUACGUAUUAUAAUUCACAAAACCAAGAAAAUCCUGGACACUCAUCGUCUUCAUCAUCAAUUCCUAGAAACUCGACGUCCUCCUCACAGUCAUCACCAUCAAAAUCUCAAGCUAAAUCAAAAUCGGUAAAAACUUUGACAAAUUCUGACUCUACUAUAUCUACUGAGCCAGAAAGACAAUUACCUCCUGGUUGGCAUUAAUAUGUAUAUUGUAAAAUAGAUAAAUGCAGCUGAUAUAUUGAUAAAAAAAAAAUGAUAAGUAUAAACUUAUUGUAAAAACAUUUAUUGAAGUCACCAUGUUAUUGUGUUGCAAAACAUUAGAGAAAAUCUGUAAAUUUAAAACCAUUUAAACAUCACUGAAAAUAAUAAUUUAUUAAAUACAAUUUGGAAGGCGAAUUUUGAGAAUUUAUUUUUUAUUUUUAUUGUUUACUGUAUUCCAUUUUACAUACUCGAUACUUACAUAUACUAUGCCUUUAUAUUGUUAGUUAAGUUAUAAAUCUCUUAAGGGUCCUAUCACUAGAUAGCUGCCCUACUCGUAAUCUCCAAGUCAUUAUUUACAUUGUUAACCUAUUUGCUUAUUAUUUAUUUUUCUUUAUGUACAGAUUGUGAAUGUUAUUUAAAAUAAAAUAAAAGUUAUAAAUUUAUAUUAUUCCAUUCCUAACAAAUAGUAUGAUUUUUUUAUUGUUAAAAGUCAGAAAAUUCUUAUAGUAUUAUACUUAACUCCAGCUUAUUAACUAUUAUUGU